rnacentral:lncRNA from 1 species
UGGCUCUCCUUGCCACCUCCGCCUUCGCCAACGAUAAGGCUCAAUCUCCCUCAUCGUCUCCCUCCCAAUCACCAUCCUCCACUCCUCCCCCAUCCUCCACUAAACCACCAUCAUCAACCCCAGCAGCCUCUGCCAAAACACCAUCCGCCACCCCAGCAGCGACCCCAUCCGCCACCCAAGCAGCUACCCCAUCCGCCUCCUCUAAGGCUCCCAAGUCUUCGGAUGCAUCCUCCUCUCCAUCCUCCGCCCCCACCACCUCCACCUCCUCCUCCUCCCCAUCCUCCUCCCCAUCAAGCUCUACAUCAUCCUCCUCCUCCUCCUCCUCCCCAUCCUCCUCCCCAUCCUCCUCCCCAUCCAGCUCUACAUCAUCCGACUCUCCACCCUCCCCACCCACCUCCACUCCCGCCUCCAGCCCAUCCACCUCCGACACCUCGGUUGCUCCCUCCGAGUCGACUACUUCUGCUGAGGCUCCCGCCCCAUCUGGAGCCGCCGUGAACAGAGGCUUCGCUGCCGGAUCCGUGGCCGCCGUCGUCAUUGCGGCGUCGUUCUUGGCCUAGAUGUGCUUUGCGGACGAGGCCUUUUUCC